rnacentral:rRNA from 1 species
GUUAAGCGACUAAGCGUACACGGUGGAUGCCCUGGCAGUCAGAGGCGAUGAAGGACGUGCUAAUCUGCGAUAAGCGUCGGUAAGGUGAUAUGAACCGUUAUAACCGGCGAUUUCCGAAUGGGGAAACCCAGUGUGAUUCGUCACACUAUCAUUAACUGAAUCCAUAGGUUAAUGAGGCGAACCGGGGGAACUGAAACAUCUAAGUACCCCGAGGAAAAGAAAUCAACCGAGAUUCCCCCAGUAGCGGCGAGCGAACGGGGAGCAGCCCAGAGCCUGAAUCAGUGUGUGUGUUAGUGGAAGCGUCUGGAAAGGCGUGCGAUACAGGGUGACAGCCCCGUACACAAAAAUGCACAUACUGUGAGCUCGAUGAGUAGGGCGGGACACGUGGUAUCCUGUCUGAAUAUGGGGGGACCAUCCUCCAAGGCUAAAUACUCCUGACUGACCGAUAGUGAACCAGUACCGUGAGGGAAAGGCGAAAAGAACCCCGGCGAGGGGAGUGAAAAAGAACCUGAAACCGUGUACGUACAAGCAGUGGGAGCACGCUUAGGCGUGUGACUGCGUACCUUUUGUAUAAUGGGUCAGCGACUUAUAUUCUGUAGCAAGGUUAACCGAAUAGGGGAGCCGAAGGGAAACCGAGUCUUAACUGGGCGUUAAGUUGCAGGGUAUAGACCCGAAACCCGGUGAUCUAGCCAUGGGCAGGUUGAAGGUUGGGUAACACUAACUGGAGGACCGAACCGACUAAUGUUGAAAAAUUAGCGGAUGACUUGUGGCUGGGGGUGAAAGGCCAAUCAAACCGGGAGAUAGCUGGUUCUCCCCGAAAGCUAUUUAGGUAGCGCCUCGUGAAUUCAUCUCCGGGGGUAGAGCACUGUUUCGGCAAGGGGGUCAUCCCGACUUACCAACCCGAUGCAAACUGCGAAUACCGGAGAAUGUUAUCACGGGAGAC